rnacentral:rRNA from 1 species
ACGCCAGGCUUCUCACCCAUCAAGUGGGAUAAGGCCCCUCGCAUACCACGGGAUCGAUAGCCCAGACCUACACACCCCGCAAGGGGCGCAGGGAACUGGCACUAACCGGCCGAAAACUUACAACAA